GUGCUCACUUUGGUAGCACAUAUACUAAAAUUGGAACGAUAUGGAGAAGAUUAGCAUGGCCUCUGGGGGGAAAAAAGAUUGUUCCUUCUAAUUUUC
rnacentral:snRNA from 1 species